GACGAACGCUGGCGGCGUGCUUAACACAUGCAAGUCGAACGGAAAGGCCCUGCUUUUGUGGGGUGCUCGAGUGGCGAACGGGUGAGUAACACGUGAGUAACCUGCCCUUGACUUUGGGAUAACUUCAGGAAACUGGGGCUAAUACCGGAUAGGAUCUCCUGCUGCAUGGUGGGGGUUGGAAAGUUUCGGCGGUUGGGGAUGGACUCGCGGCUUAUCUGCUUGUUGGUUGGGUAGUGGCUUACCAAGGCUUUGACGGGUAGCCGGCCUGAGAGGGUGACCGGCGACAAGGGGACUGAGAGACGGACCAGAAGGCAAGGGGAGGCAGCAGUGGGGAAUAGUGCAAAAUGGGAGGAAGGCUGAUGAAGAAACGCGGCGGGCGGGAUGACGGGCUUCGGGUUGUAAACCGAUUUAGCAUGUGACGAAGAGUGAGUGACGGUAAUGGGUAAAGAAGCACCGGCUAACUACGUG
rnacentral:rRNA from 1 species